UCCGUACAUUGAUGUUACCUGGUGUCUUCCCUGUGUCCCCAUCGUCGCUACCUCGGGUUGGUCCGUUUGUUUUUGGAGAGGAGGAGACUUCUGCGGAUAAUUUGGCUCUCUGUAAAAUCCUUCUGAAAGAUAAACAAUGAAGGAAUCAUAACCACGGAAAGCUGACAGAAACAACAACUCCCACACUACUUCAGCAGGUGAGGUCAUGGAUGAUGAAGACCCCGGGGAGGUCUCUAUCCUGUACUGCAGCCAAAUGAAGUCAUUGGAACAUAAUGGAGCACUGCAUGAGAGAUGCAAGGGCUGCUGGGAGUCGAGUACCUGUAAUCUGCAGGAGUAUUGCAUGACUAAAUCGUGUUAAACUUCAAAUCUCUAUAAAAACUAUUUUUUUAUUCAACCA